rnacentral:lncRNA from 13 species
CAUCCCAAAUGGCACCCUAUUCCCUUGGUAGUGCACUGCUUUUGAACAGGGCCCAUAGGGAAUAGGGAAACUGGGUCAGAUUAGACAUACCAGUGGCUUGGAUGUUGUGGGUAUCAGAGAGGAACAUCCAGGCACUAUAGUUCAUAUUUCAUACUUUCAUGGCAAAAUACAUUAACAGCUCUCCAAAUAUCAUUUGGUUUUCAUUCUUAAAUUGAGCUCAAAUAUUAAAUACAGUCAGAUUAUUACAUUCUGUCUUGAUUGAAAAACAACAACAUAAAUUAGAGGAAUUAGUUUAGUUGUACCCGAGCAAACAAUAUGAAGUUCUGGGAACGUUCCGCUGAAAGUUAGCGAAAAUCAUGAGGACGUCACAAUGUAACGUGUCCUAGACUGACUUUUGUGAUGCCACCAUUCUUGGUGGUCGAUUCUGAUAUUCUGAAAUGUUCUGAAAGAUCUGGACUAUAAGCAGCACGGUUUUGACCCUGAGGAUUUCCAGGACAAGCAUUUCAGGAGCAUGACAGACACAUACCAUCUGUGAAAGUGCCAGUAGGCUAAGAAAAUAUAAUAAUAUUUAGCAGGGAAACGAACCCACAAUCCUGACAUUAAAAGAACCGUGCUCUACCAACUGAGUCAUACAGGACCACAAGAUCACAUUCCCUUGUCCAACUAGUUUAAAUAUUCAAUCACACCUUCUCUUUCCUUUUGGAUUCGGCACUUUGGAGAUAUAGAAAAUAUGAUAGAUUUAGGAAAUGGGAUUUGACCUAGCCCUGUUUCAUUAUAAACAACAAUAUAACUCUGUUUAGAGGUGACCUAUCCCUAUUUCAUUAUAAACAACAAUAUAACUCUGUUUAGAGGUGACCUAUCCCUAUUUCAUUAUAAACAACCUCUGUCUAGAGGUGACCUAGCCCUAUUUCAUUAUAAACAACCUCUGUUUAGAGUUGACCUAGCCCUAUUUCAUUAUAAACAACCUCUGUUUAGAGGUGACCUAGCCCU